rnacentral:rRNA from 1 species
UUCGCCUCAGUAACGGCGAGUGAAGCGGCAAGAGCUCAAAUUUGAAAUCUGGCCCCUUUGGGGUCCGAGUUGUAAUUUGCAGAGGAUGCUUCGGGUGCGGUCCCCGUCUAAGUGCCCUGGAACGGGCCGUCAUAGAGGGUGAGAAUCCCGUCUGGGAUGGGCGGCCGCGCCCGUGUGAAGCUCCUUCGACGAGUCGAGUUGUUUGGGAAUGCAGCUCUAAGCGGGUGGUAAAUUUCAUCUAAAGCUAAAUACUGGCCGGAGACCGAUAGCGCACAAGUAGAGUGAUCGAAAGAUGAAAAGCACUUUGAAAAGAGAGUUAAACAGCACGUGAAAUUGUUGAAAGGGAAGCGUUGUCCACCAGACUCGCCCGGGGGGGUUCAGCCGGCACCUGUGCCGGUGUACUCCUCUCCGGGCGGGCCAGCAUCGGUUUGGGCGGCUGGUGAAAGGCCCCGGGAAUGUACCACCCUCCGGGGUGCCUUAUAGCCCGGGGUGCCAUGCAGCCAGCCUGGACCGAGGCCCGCGCUUCGGCGAGGAUGCUGGCGUAAUGGUGGUCAACGGCCCGUCUUGAAACACGGACCAAGGAGUCUAACAUCUAUGCGAGUGUUCGGGUGUCAAACCCGUCCGCGCAGUGAAAGCGAACGGAGGUGGGAGCCCCUCGGGGCGCACCAUCGACCGAUCCUGAUGUCUUCGGAUGGAUUUGAGUAAGAGCAUAGCUGUUGGGACCCGAAAGAUGGUGAACUAUGCCUGAAUAGGGCGAAGCCAGAGGAAACUCUGGUGGAGGCUCGCAGCGGUUCUGACGUGCAAAUCGAUCGUCAAAUUUGGGUAUAGGGGGCGAAAGACUAAUCGAACCAUCUGGUAGCUGGUUCCUGCCGAAGU